AAGACUAUACUUUCAGGGAUCAUUUCUAUAGUUUGUUACUAGAUAAUUUUCUCUGAAUGUGUAGAGCACCCGAAACCAUGAGGAAGAGGCCCAGUGUUCUUUCCUGAGCAUGAAGCUGGCUUUUGGGGUUACUUUUGCAGCUGCCAAUAACCACUGAUGAUCAUUCUUCUUUUCCUUUGGAAGAGUAAGAGGGAGAGAAUGCACACUGAGUGGU